rnacentral:rRNA from 3 species
GAUGAACGCUGGCGGCGUGCCUAAUACAUGCAAGUCGAGCGAAUGGAUUAAGAGCUUGCUCUUAUGAAGUUAGCGGCGGACGGGUGAGUAACACGUGGGUAACCUACCCAUAAGACUGGGAUAACUCCGGGAAACCGGGGCUAAUACCGGAUAAUAUUUUGAACUGCAUAGUUCGAAAUUGAAAGGCGGCUUCGGCUGUCACUUAUGGAUGGACCCGCGUCGCAUUAGCUAGUUGGUGAGGUAACGGCUCACCAAGGCGACGAUGCGUAGCCGACCUGAGAGGGUGAUCGGCCACACUGGGACUGAGACACGGCCCAGACUCCUACGGGAGGCAGCAGUAGGGAAUCUUCCGCAAUGGACGAAAGUCUGACGGAGCAACGCCGCGUGAGUGAUGAAGGCUUUCGGGUCGUAAAACUCUGUUGUUAGGGAAGAACAAGUGCUAGU